UAUUAUACAAGUUGUUGGGUGAUGGGGCAGGGAAGAGAGUUCCAGGCUAUGGUGGUGGUGAGAAUAUUGAAAGACCUUUUUGUCUGUUUCCUUUGAUUUUGUUUCUUUGGGAUGCUACAUUGAAUUUUCCACUCCCAUUUAACCCUUUUUUUACUUUUCAAUCCUUGAAAAAAGAGAAUCCCACGUUUUGUUUAUUGAAAUAUAAAAUUGAAAAUUUUGGUUACCUUCUUACAGCUAUUCCUUAGUACUCAGCCGC
rnacentral:lncRNA from 1 species